UGCAUAUUCUAGUUACUGGGUAGGAGUGGUAACCAGAUUAAAUCGGGCACGUUUUUUAUCCAGCCGUGAAAAUACUGCCCCCUAGCCAUAACAGGCUAACCUACGAAGCAUUACAUGGGCUUGCUCCUACCUAUCUUUCCGAUUUGGUCCUGCCGUACAUACCUACACGUACGCUACGGUCACAAGAUGCAGGCCUCCUAAUUGUCCUUAGAAUUUCUAAGCAAACGGCUGGAGGUAGGGCUUUCUCCUAUAGAGCUCCAUUUUUAUGGAAUGGUCUGCCUACCCAUGUGAGAGACGCAGACUCAGUCUCAACCUUUAAGUCUUUACUGAAGACUUAUCUCUUCAGUAGGUCCUAUGAUUAAGUAUAGUCUGGCCCAGGAGUGUGAAGGUGAACGGAAAGGCUGGAGCAACGAACCGCCCUUGCUGUCUCUGCCUUGCCGGUUCCCCUCUUUCCACUGGGAUUCUCUGCCUCUAACCCUAUUACAUGGGCUGAGUCACUGGCUUACUGGUGUUCUUCCAUGCCGUCCAUGGGAGGGGUGCGUCACUUGAGUGGGUUGAGUCACUGACGUGGUCUUCCUGUCUGGGUUGGCGCCCCCCCCUUGGGUUGUGCCAUGGCGGAGAUCUUUGUGGGCUAUACUCGGCCUUGUCUUAGGACCCACUUUGCCAAAGCACAGCCCCCACACCACUAGUGGGAUGUCUACAACCACCAACUUACCGUAAGUUGGUGGUUGUAGACAUCCCUCUAGUGGUGUGGGGGCUGUGCUUUGGCAAAGUGGGUGGGGUUAUAUCCUGCCUGUUUGGCCCUGUCCGGGGGGUAUCAUCGGAUGGGGCCACAGUGUCUUCUCAUCCCUCCUGUCUCAGCCUCCAGUAUUUAUGCUGCAGUAGUUUAUGUGUCGGGGGGCUAGGGUCAGUCUGUUACAUCUGGAGUAUUUCUCUUGUCUUAUCCGGUGUCCUGUGUGAAUUUAUAUAUGCUCUCUCUAAUUCUCUCUAUCUCUCUUUCUUUCUUUCUCUCGGAGGACCUGAGCCCUAGGACUAUGCCUCAUGACUACCUGGCAUGAUGACUCCUUGCUGUCCCCAGUCCACCUGGUUAUGCUGCUGCUCCAGUUUCAACUGUUCUGCCUGCGGCUAUGGAACCCUGACCUGUUCACCGGACGUGCUUGUUGCACCCUCGACAACUACUAUGAUUAUUAUUAUUUGAACAUGCUGGUCAUUUAUGAACAUUUUAACAUCUUGACCAUGUUCUGUUAUAAUAUCCACCCGGCACAGCCAGAAGAGGACUGGCCACCCCUCAUAGCCUGGUUCCUCUCUAGGUUUCUAAUCUCCACCCGGCACAGCCAGAAGAGGACUGGCCACCCCUCAUAGCCUGGUUCCUCUCUAGGUUUCUUCCUAGGUUUUUGGCCUUUCUAGUUUUUCCUAGGGAGUUUUUCCUAGCCACCGUGCUUCUUUCACAUGCAUUGCUUUCUGUUUGGGGUUUUAGGCUGGGUUUCUGUACAGCACUUUGAGAUUUCAGCUGAUGUACGAAGGGCUAUAUAAAUACAUUUGAUUUGAUUUGAUACACUGAACAGUUAUACUGACUAGAAUGCCCCCCCCCCCCCCGUCUGGUGUAGCCUGAUACACUGAACAGUUAUACUGACUAGAGUGCCCCCCCG
rnacentral:lncRNA from 1 species